rnacentral:rRNA from 1 species
UACCCGCAGCACAAGUGGUGGUCAUUAUUAUUGGGCCUAAAGCGUCCGUAGCUGGCUUGUUAGAUGCCUGGGUAAAUCGAUGCGCUCAACGUAUCGAACUCCGGGUAGACCGGCAAGCUUGGGACCGGGAGAGGCGUGAGCUACUCAGGGGGUAGGGGUAAAAUCCUGUAAUCCUCCGGGGAGGACCAGUGGCGAAGGCGUCACGCUAGAACGGCUCCGACAGUGAGGGACGAAGCCCUGGGGCGCAAACCGG